GUAGCUCAACCAAUCAUAAUGCAUGUGGUACGGUUAAUGUGUAAACGAAGAGGUUAGCUCUUCUGUAUCAAAAAUAAAACACAUAAAUUGUUUGCUGCAACGUUUUUUCGAUGGCGACAGUAGAACCCAAACUCAUCCUUUUAUUUAGUGGGAAACGCAAAUCUGGAAAAUAUUACGUUACGUGACGGAUUUGAUUCACAAAAGACUAGGUCCAGGUGUAUGCUGUAUCUUGCGUCUCUCGGGUCCUCUCAAACAGCAAUACGCACAGGUUGGUAUUUCUGUACAGUUGUGCUACAUCAUCCUGGCCGAUCCUCGGUGUGCAGGCUUGUGUUCCAGCUAAUACAACACCUAAUUCAGAUAAUCAAGGACCUUGCCUUGAUGAGGUUAAUCGAUCAGACAUUAAGUGCUGGGCAGGAACAAAAGCCUGCAUGCCCAGCUGGUCUACAAUACACACUACGAGUGAAUGGAGGAACACUACCACUACUGUCUCCUUAUAUUACCCACUAUGCCUACGGGACCAUGGAUUGGACCUGUUGGGAGCAGGUGAGUACGAGGAGAAGUACCGUGCUGACAUGAUCCAGUGGGGUGAGAAGCAGAGGGAGAAGGACCCAGGGUUCUUCUGUCGUGUGGCCAUAAAGGCAGCCCAGCAGCCUAUCUGGAUUGUGAGUGACACGCGACAUCUGUCAGACCUGCAGUGGUUCUGGAGGAACUAUCCUAGUCAAUCUCGCUGUGUUCGGGUGGAGGCCUCAGAAGAGACACGGAGGGAGAGGGACUGGGAGUUCACAACAGGAAUAGAUGAUGCAGUCUGAAUGUGGGCUCGACCAAGGAGUAGAUUUUGAUUGGAUAAUCAAAAAUGAGGGCGAUGGAUCACAACUGGAAGAGCAGCUUGCUACUGGGCUGCUCUCAAUAGCCAAAGAGAAGGUGAAAGAGGACUGAUGUGGAGGGGACAUUACACAGCUGUAGGAACUUGCUGAAAGCACUUGUUGGAAAGUGUAGUUGGGUAUACAUUACUCUAUUUUCUGUGAAAAUCCUAGAACACCUUUCAUACACUGAGGAGCAGCAGAAAGUGAGAAUAUGUAGUAUUUAUUUCUCUACAGUGUUCUGUACUAUCAACUACGUAGCAUGGCAAGAAUAAAAUCUGAUCAAACACCCAAACAUGUACGGUGUGCAUAUUGGCACUGACCAAUAUGUUAAUUUACAUGGAUCACACACACAACUGGCAAAAUAAAAUAAACACUUGAGAAAAAUGAAGGAUACAAAGUAUAUUAAAAGCUGGUGCUUCCACACAGGUGUGGGUCGUGAGUUAAUUAAGCAAUUAAAACAUCCCAUCAUGCUUAGGGUGAUAUAUAAAUUAGUUUGGCUAACAUAGCUAGAAGAGAUGUGACUGUCACAUUCAUCCAAUAAAGUUUGACACUUGAAUAGAUGCCAAGGUGCAUGGAAGCUUUUCUGGUGGCACAAUGCCCUAUUAAGACACUUUGGGGUUUCCUUUUUGGCAUUUUCCUGUACUUGGUGACAUUUGCCUCCUGUGUUGACAUCACUAAGACCCAAUAUACAGAUUAAGUCUGCACUUGUAUAAAAGUAUCAUUGUGCCAUGUGUAAUUUUGUUUUUUUAAUAGUCUUAGAUAGUAAAAUAGUUAACUAGGCUACGAGAAAGUAUAGUUUUAGUUGUAAAUAGCUAGACGAUUAACUGGGAACCUGGAACAUGCACAUAUGCUGACCCAUGGUAAAAUUAGUGCAAUACUGCGUUACACACCCAUUCAACAUAAUUAAAAUGUACUAGACAGACAUGAUCAAUGUUCUAAUAGCAGGGUAAGUGUUCAUAAAACAUUUUAAAGUAGGUAGUAGUAGCAGCACCUAAAUCGGAGUGGUGUCAAACUGAAGGAAAAAAUAAAUAAAUUGGAAUGUCAAUACAAAUCAUGGUUCUUUAUUUUUAAAAAUUGUGUCCAUUUGUGUCAUGAUUACAAUCAAAACAUUACUGGUAACAAUGUUUACACCCAGGUAUCGAGUGAAAAGUUCCAGUUAAACUUGAUGCAAUACUUUACUUUUUAUUUCUUUAUUAAUUAUAAGGUUUGCAGUUCACUUAAUUUGCAGAAAAAAAAUAGUUUAAUAGUCUAUACUGAUAAGUCUAGAUAAUACCCUUGUGUCCCUUCUCCCAAUGCUUCCAUUUUGGCAGUGGAAUGCGUAGUGAUUGGCUGAUCACACCCCUCCCCUACAUCAUCUUAUUGGAAAAAAAUAACAAUUAGCCUAGAGGACUAAGGCUGCAAUUGGCUAGAAUAUCUGCAUCCAAUUCUGUCUGAAGCUAUAAGAUGUUUAUAUCCCUUCAAUGACCCACGACUCAUUCACAAUUCAAUUUCCUGAUCUUGGGGUGGGGGGAGUAAACUGGAAGGGUGGGGGGUGGAACAAAAACAGUUUACAGUAACUUGUGACAACGGCCCUUUUUGGAAAAUGACUCCAGAUAAAAACAAAAACAUGUCAUGCAACAAAACACUUCUCCCUUAUAAGAAAAACAUGUUAAUCCCCCCCAGCCCAUAAUUGUAAAUUAACACAAAAUCCUUGACAAAAGGUAGCACAGUUGUGGACCCUCUGGGCAUUGGCGCAGUAGAAAAGCAGUGCUUGUGUAAGGAUGUUCCAGCAGAAGGUGAGUGGUUAGAGGGGGACAAGAGUUUGAGGCGAUACGUUGGUAGGGCAAGUGGUUCAGAUGGGGAUAACAGAGGGAGAGUUAAUAAUCAAAUGGUGGUCCCAUUCCAAAAGGGAGACAUGAUUAGGUAAGAGUUAUUACCCUCGCCACCUUCAUAUGUGUCCCAGUGGACACCAAAUAUCCCCUUAAGGGUUCUUAUCAGAACAGGAGAGAAGCGCCUCAAUGUAUUUAAACGCUUACAGCUAACAUCCAAAAAAAGACCAUAGGAAUGGCCUCAAACACAAAUCACACACCUAAGCUGGAAUGUGAAUAUUAGAAACCUGUGAAACACUUAAGAUGUUGGUGCUUGAGUAAAUGUUGCCCUUAAGACUAAAAAGAAUGCUAUGAAGAGGCUUCAAAAAAAAAAA